rnacentral:rRNA from 1 species
CACGUAGGGACCAAGCGUUGUCCGGAUUCAUUGGGCGUAAAGAGCUCGUAGGCGGCUGCUCAAGUCGAAUGUGAAAACUCGAGCUCAACCUCGAGACGCCGAUGGAAACCUCCAGCUAGAGUACGGAAGAGGCAAGUGGAAUUCCUGGUGUAGCGGUGGAAUGCGCAGAUAUCAGGAGGAACACCCAUAGCGAAGGCAGCUUGCUGGGACGUUACUGACGCUGAGACGCGAAGCGUGGGAGCAAACAGG